UACGUAGGGGGCGAGCGUUGUCCGGAGUUACUGGGCGUAAAGCGCACGCAGGCGGUCUGUUAAGUUUGGAGUGACAGUUGGUGGCUUAACUGCCAAAGUGCUUCGAAAACUGACAGACUUGAGGGCUUCAGAGGGACACGGAAUUCCGGGUGGAGUGGUGAAAUGCGUAGAGAUCCGGAGGAACACCAAAGGCGAAGGCAGUGUCCUGGGGAAUACCUGACGCUCAGAUGCGAAAGCCAGGGGAGCGAACGGG
rnacentral:rRNA from 1 species